UUUCCUGCUUAUGCAGGGGGUCGGACUUGAUGAUCUAUUGAGGUCCCUUCCAACCCUAACAUCUAUGAAAUGAAAGUACUGUAACGUGGACAAAGAACUCAUUGGUUCAUCAUGCUUAACGAGUAGACACCAAUGUAUCAAUGUCUAGCUGGGUGGAGGUAUCAAGUAGGUUCUACAGGGUCUGGGACUGGUAUUAUUUAAUAUCUUCAUUCAUGAUGUGAAUGAUGGGUUUGAGUGCACGCUUGGCACAUGUGUGGACAACACCAAGUUGGAUGGAGUUACAGGUACUCUGGAGAGAAGGGCUAGGAUCCAGAAUGACCUGGAUAGAUUUGAGAAAUGGUCUGCAGUCAAUCAAAUAUGAUUCAAGGACAAAUGCAGAGCCCUGCACUUGGGAUGGAAUAAUUAUGUGCAUGAAUAUAGACUAGGGGAUGAUUGUCUAGGUUGAAGUUUUGCAGAAAAGGACCUGAGGUUCCAGUAGACCAUAAACUGAAUAUAAGCCAACAGUGUGCUCUUGUUGCAAAAAACAGCCAACAGCAUGCUGGAUUGUAUUAACAGGAAUGUCAUUUGCAAACCAAGGGAAGUAAUUCUUCUACCCUGUUCAGCACUGAUGAAGCCUCACCUAGAGUACUCUAUCCAGAUUUGGGCCCAACACUUUAAGAAGGAUGUGGACAGAUUGGAAAGAGUCUAGCAUGCAGCAACAAAAGUGACUAGCGGCCUGGAAGGCAAGUCUUAUGAGGAAAGGCUGAAACAACUAGGGUUAUUUGGCCUGGAGAAGAGAAGACUGAGGGGGGAUUUGAUUAUGGUCUUCAAAUACCUCAAGUGCAAUUACAGAAAGAAUGGAGUUGGGUUUUUAUGUGUGGCUGUAGGGGACAGAACUAGAAGUAGUAGUCUCAAACUGCAGCAGGGGAAGUUUAGGUAGGAGAUUGGGAGGAACUUUCUGACUAUGAGAGUGAUCAACCAUUGGAAAAGGCUCCCUAGAAAAGCUGUGGAAUCUUCAUCCUUGGAAGUUUACAAGACCAGGUUAGACAGAUACUUUGCUGGUAUGGUUUAGUCAGCAAUGAUCCUGCUUUGAGCAAGGGGCUGGUCUAGAUGGCUUUGUGAGGUCCCUUCCAGCUCUAAUAAUAGGACUCAUAUCUGCAAGAAAGAUGAGUUAGCAUUGCUAUUUGUGUUUCUUGAUUUUGAGAUUUUACUUCUGCAGUCUUUAUACUACAUUAAUAUAAUAUUUGCAUAAAUACCUAUUUAUUUAUUAAAGAAUAAUUUGAUACCUAGCAGUACAUGUACAGAAAUAUACACAAUGAAGCCUGGUUUUCCAAUGUCUUUGUACUUAUUUAUGUCUGUGAAAUGGGAGAACAAAGUAGGUGUCAAACAUUAAUGCAUUGGGAUUUUGCAUUCCUCUAAACUAGAGUUUCAUUUUCAUACCACUUUACACAGAGGCAUAAGCACACAGUUGGUGAACAUCUGAGAAUCAGGCCUGUGUCAUCUACUAUUACAAGAAGAUUUGGUAAAGAAGAUGGUGAAGGAAGAAUGGGUAUAUUCACCGCACAACUGAAUUACCUUGCUAAAAGAAGUAUAGAGGAUACAGAACAAGUCAGCAAAAGAUGUCAGGAAAGCAGAAGUAUACUCAAACACUUCUCACUGUUCCUGGGACUUCAAAUGUUCUCACAGGAGGGAGACGAUAUAUUGUGUGACUUUCCUUUCAGAAACCAUGGGGAAGCAUUCGGUGAUGCAGAGGAUGUCAUGCAAGCAACUGUUUCAUAUACAGUAAAGCAAACCAGUAAUGUGAAAGUCAGUGAGUUAAGGCAAGCAAAGAAACCAAAAGCAGAAGCUUGGAAGAAUAAGCACACAGCACUGUGCAGGUGAGGUUACAAAGAAAGGUUUUUUUGGUUUGUUUUUGUUCUAUUUUUUCUUUACCAAUGUCAGAAAUACUCACUCCCUUUUUAAAACAUCAUCAAGGGAGUAGAUAGCAAGCGCCACUCACUCAGGAAUACACGAAGAACUGCUAUUAAGAAUAUUGUGACAAGUUAUAUGAAGCACCAAGGGAUAGUCCAGACUUUAUCAAGAGUGAGGCAAUCAUUUUCAGUCAUAAAAGUACCUUGGCUGGCAAAGACUGUAAAUGUAAUAAAAGUGAGGGGGGAGGGAAGGGGGAGUUAUGUUGUCUAUGCUCA